rnacentral:lncRNA from 10 species
CUCGAGCUGUGGUGCGUGCCGCUAAGUUGUGCGUUCCAGGGUGCACUCGCCGGCGAGGCUGCACGGCGCCGGUUUCAUUGCUAAAAUCCGACGGACUUGUUGCAGAACUCGUUUUUUUUGUCGGGAAAGGGCUUCCCCGUGUAACUUUACAGCAGUUAUCGUAGAUAAGACUUGCAAAUUACAGAUGUGGACGGUGAGGGAACGGGAAUUUCACUGAAAGCGCCUGAGAACCAGUAAGAGACCUGCAACAGCUUUGUGCUCCACUGGCGAAUGCUUCCUCCCCUAAUACACAUUAUGUGUGCUUGGAGACACAAGGAGUAAGAUACAGCCCCUCAAGGGACUCGUCAUAGGGAGAGGACACAGCUUUGGGAAUAAAGGGGCCACAAAGGAGGAGAGAGGAGUUUGCUGAAACUUCCCAAGCUCCCAUUCCAGCAGUUCCUGAAGGAUUCAUUUCUCUCUGAGGAUCUCAUGAGGUGGCUUAGCAGCUAGAAUCUCUUCCUUAACAGUGGGAAGAACAACUCCUGGAAAUUUAGGUCGACUUUGACUGGAUUUAAAAGAAAGCUGUACAAUUCCACUUCUGUAUAUACAACCAAAGGAAAUGAGAUGUGCAUACCCAUGUUCAAUGAAGCAUUAUUCACAAUAGCCAAAAUGUGGAACCAAUCCUUAAACAAAAGGAAAACAGAAAAUCUGCUCAAGGCACCUGAGAAAAUCACAACCCACACUUGCGAACCCCUAGGAGACCUAAAGCUGUGGUUUUACAAAUAAACAGAUAAGUAACAUUCCUACUCUUUCCUAUAGGUACUCAAUCUUCUUAACAACUCCCAUCCCACACAGGUUUGCAUCCCCAGCAGAUACAUAUGGCUAUGUGGUCACCCAUUCGAUCAGCCUAUAAAAGACUUGUCUUAUUUGAUAUUGUGAAACCCAUGGUUAUCAGUGUAUAUGAAAAUGUUUGGUUCAGGGGUCAAUGUACAAUAUGACAAGCAAAGUCCUCUAAUACACAGUUAUAUAAAAUCACUCACCUGAGAGCCAAGUGGACAAUUGGCCUUAUAUUGGCUGGAGUUGGAGCCCCAGAGGGAAAAUUUGCCUAUUAUUAGGCAACUCUUCAAAACUUUACUUAUUCGUUUCUAAACACUGUCUCAUAAAAUGGGGGAUGCUUUAGAUGAAUUAAGAUUAGCACUAGAUUACUUAUUCGUUGAAAAUUAGCACUAGAUUUCUUAUUGGUUGAACAAGGAGGAGUGUGCACCAUAAUCAAUAUAACCUGCUGCAGUUAUGUAAACACCUCAGGUCACAUAGAAGAAGAUAUACAGAAAAUACAUGAACAAGCUGUGUGGUUGCGUAAAUAUAACCAAGGCACCAAUCCCAACUGUAUCUGGUCAGCCAUUAGAAGCACCCUCCUGAGUCUCACUUGGUUGUUGCCCUUCCUAGGAACUUUGAUAGUUGUCUUAUUAUUAAUCUUUGGCCCUUGCUUGUUUAAAUUCUUGGUAAAGUUUGUGUUUUUUAGAUUACAACAAUUCCACAUAAAGAUGAUACUGACACAAAGCUUCCAAUCCAUCCCGUCUUCUGAACCGGGAAAUAAAGACACCCUGCCUUUAGGUGUCUUUAGAUCUAGAUCAGGCAUCUAGAGAUUUUUACUCCUCCAAUACUUGGCAGGGUCUAUGCCCGUAGACUCAUCAGGAUACCAUGUAAAUGAGGACCUCCCUUGGUACCCCAGAGGCCAACUGUAGACCCUUAUGAGAAAAUCCUGUCCCCAAAAUGAACAUCCACUGUCAGCAGGAAGAAGUUACAGAAGACCAGCCUUUGCCCUUACGAUUAAGGGUCCUCUUGUAAGUAGAGAGGGGAAUGUUAGGAAAGCAGGAGCCUAGGUGAUCCAGAGUGACACCAUUUUAAAAUAAACUCCACCUGAAAACUAGCAAGGCAUCUGCACACAUCUGUUUAGCAAGUAUAUACUUCUGUAACUGGAAUAAAAAGCGUUAUUUUAGAAUAUGCCUAUAGUUUGUAAUAAUUAGCCGAGGGAAAAAAAGUUCACAUUGGUGUAGGAAAAGUGCCCUAAUGGUCAUGGGUAAUAAUGGGACCGUGGUUCUGGUCAGUGAUUUGAUGGAAGGGGUGUAGAUAAUAUAUUGUUGUAAAUAAUAAAAAUAAAAAAUUGUUGUAAGUAAUAAAAAUAAAAUAAUAUUGUUGUAAGUAAUAAAGUAGGAGAAAUAUUUGGUCUUUUGCUUUUGGGUUAGUGCAACAGUAGUACCAUUACUUGGAGGAGAAGUUAGAGAAGGACAAGAAUAGGCUUGAAUAAGAUGAGUGAGAAGAGAGAAAAAUUCCGUAAGUGGAGAUGGCCAGGGAACACCAGGGCAGCAGAAUCUAACUCUGAAUUUAAUGCUGUUGUCUGUUCAUAUUGCACUGCGCUGUAAUCUCCCUAUCUUUCCUAAACCAUUGGCAAAGUCUGCUAUCCACUGGGGCCUUGGGUCGGUGGUGCUUUGGGAAAUACCAGAAGAGGGAAAGUACGGCAAAUGUGCAGUGUCACAGAUGAUAGGAGGAAAGCUGGCCAGUGGGAUGAUUAAAACAAUUUCGGUGGGAGUGGGAAUUCAGACCAUGUAAAUGGUCUGAAUUAAGAAAAUUUCAAGAAACAAAAAAUGUUUCUAAUGAGCCAAAGUGAAAGCUCUUCAUGAUUUCUUUAUAGAGGCUCUCUAGUGCUUGUCCUAAUUUCCUGAAAUCUCAUGGGUAUCUUACUCUCCUGGUGCCCGCCUCAAACAUUCACUGUAGCAAUUAUAUGAGCAGCCUAGAGAAUCCCAAUCCCAGUGGUCUUGCUCCCUGGAUCUACUUUCUCUUAAAAAUCAUUCCCCUAAGUUUCCGUCACUUGGUUGAAGUUUAGUAGAUAUCUCCACAUCUCCAGCUAGAACAGCACCAGAAUUUCAGGACUAGGGCAAUAGAGUCUGAUAUUAAAUUCUAUUUCUAUCUAUCUAUCUAUCAUCUAUCUAUCUAUCUAUCUAUCUAUCUAUCUAUCUAUCUAUCUAUCUACAGAACAAUUUGUGGGAUAGUAGCUUUGGGGUCCCAGAUCUAGGAUGGGCCUGGUCCUCCAUGCUGGUUCUCCUGGGUGAUAUUUCUGUUAGUUUGAACAGUAAUCACACUUUUAUUACUGUUUCAUCUUUUUUUUUUCACUCUUAGACUGAUUUUAUCAUGUGUAUAAAACAUACACACACCUACAUCUCAAGGAUAAACAUUAAUCCUUGAAAAAUAUGUGGUCUAAAACUAUAUUGAGGAGAGAAAGAUAGGACACUUUAAUUGCCACAUGAUUAACACGAGGUCACCACACAGCUUUCACAAAUCUACAAGUCAUUCUAUUUAGGCUGAGUCAAGUUCUCCCUUGGGCCAGCCAGAGCACAAAUAAUGGAGCAAUGUGACUCUUCAAUGACAGAUCUCUGAUUUCCAGAAAAGAGACUUUGAAAUACCCAAUUCUAGUAAAUAUGCAAUUAAAUUUCCAGCUAAAUGACCUUUGCUCCUGUAGUCUUCAUCUUGGGGAAGGGAAAGAAGUCUUAUUCUGUUUAAUAGUUUGAUUUUUAUAAUAGGGUUUGUCUCUGUUAUAAAUCUUGUUUGAUAUUUAAAAUGUUAGCUAAGAGAAAACUUCUGUUUGUUUUUAUUUAGUGGGAAGAAACUAACCCUCAUUGAGUGCCUAGUUAACAUCAGGCACUUUGUACACAUAAUCAAUUGAAUCUUGACCACAACCCUGUGAGAUCCAUGGAUGAUUCUGGGUUUAGUUCUUUGUGAGACUGCCAGAAACUCCCAGAGGCUGGAUCUAUGCAUAAAGAGAGGCCAUUGGAGAGAAUGUCUACUGAAUUGCUGAAGACAAUUGCUACCGAGAAUAGAUCGUAACUUAGGAAGAAACAAUUCAGUACCAAAAGAGUAAUUGGAGCCCUUCUGGAAAACACUAGUGAAAAAUGAGAAGAUUAAAUAAGCCAUGGGAAGAUUUUUUAAAAUGACAUGAAACUCCAAGGGUAAAAAGUAGUGAGAUUGAGACUGACACCGAGCAUUGCCUGGGAAUCACAUAAGAUAAUGCAGGCUGGGAAAUCUUAGGAUGGUGAACCAUCAUGUUUCCUGAAUGUGAAUCCUGUACCUGGUUUGACUGUAGUCACCCCUUCUCCAACACUCUCCACGAUGCCGGCUGCCUCAUGGCCUAAAAUCACAGGAAGUGGGGUCACCAUGGUACCACUAACCACGUGGUCAUCUGUGCCACAGAUUCCUACAGCCACCAUCUACAGAGUGAAGAGAAGAUGUUUAUAAAAGAUUGUGAGUCUCAGGAUGUUCAACAUGAUCAAUGCCAAAUAAAUAUCAGAAUACUUGGAAGUAAAGUACUAAUAGUAGGAGUUCCUGAUUAUCAGGUGCCUAUGAUGUGACAGGCACAUUGUGGCCUGUGCUCGACCAGGAGACUGGUGAGUCCUUGUGGAUUUCUUCCCUGCUCAAGUGCAUAAAGCAGGUGUAUUGCAUAGCUUUUCCAGGCUGAGAUCAAAGACGGAGAUGUGCCUACCCGCAGAUCCUAGAUGGCCAUGUUUGCAACAGAGGUAAUGAUGAGCAGUGCGAAGAUGUGACUCCAAAGCCUGGAGAAGGACAGACCAGCAUCCCUGCAAGAGAUCCAACUGUCUUCUUUUCCGCAGAGGUCCAUAAUUUACAUGGGCCUGACAAAGAAUACUGUAACUUGCAGAAAUUAUCUUCAGUUCAAAUCCUUCAUUUUGGGGGUUAAAUAACUUGGUAAGAUAAUGAGAUUAAUAUUAUUGUAAAGAUUGCUAGAAAGAAUUGUAACAGUUCAUGUAUGUGCAUAAAUAACAACCUUAAAGCAUGUUUUGGGAUGAGGUGCAAAAUGAAAAUUGGGAGAGGGACUUUAGUAGCAGUAAACAGAACUUGAGAAUGGAAUAGAUGCAUACUCUAUAGCACACUGCAAUAAAUAGAAUACAUUUUAAGUUCCUAGAGAAAUUUUUGAAAAUGCCACAUUCAAAGCCAUCAAUCCCUACUCAAUUAGCAUUUCAUUUUGAUUUUGGUACUGAAGCCCAAGAUGUCGAGGGAGCGGAAAUACUUGCUGGUCUUGCAGCGGCUGUGGAGCCUGGAAUCCUGCCAAGAAGAGCAUGUGUGAGAGAUCAAAAUGUUUGCUUACAUUCCUCCUGUGAAGGGAGUUGGGAAAUAACCUAAGAAGCCCAAUCCAAAAACAAAGAUGUACCAUCCAGUCUUCUCUGUGAGAACCAAACUACAAACCAUCUGAAUGUUCCAAAAGUGUUUUGAUGAUGUAUUGAUGUAUUUUAAAUUAUCCUGAAAAUGUUCUUGGCAGAUGCUUAAACAUGUAAUUACUGAGAUGAUGUAGAAAUACCAAGUGUUUAUUAAAACAAUACAGAGUAAUACAAAUGGUAUGUUUGUCGCAAUAUAAAAGUAUCUAAAAAUUAAAGAGUUCUUUAAUGGUGGAGAUUGUUUUCCUUUUUGAAGUUAAAAUAUAAAUUUUUGUAAAAAGCACAAAUUAUUACUAUUUAUAGCUAACAUUUAUGGAGUGCUGACUAUGCUCAUUUUUGAGCAUACAUUGCCUCAUUUAGUGCAAUGUUUAGCAUUAACUUAUGAGGUAAAUGCCAUUGCCAUGCACAUUGUACAGAUGAAGACAUUGAGGUUUAGAGAGAUUGCAU